UACGUAGGGGGCAAGCGUUGUCCGGAUUUAUUGGGCGUAAAGAGCGUGUAGGCGGCUAGAUAGGUCCGUUGUGAAAAACUCGAGGCUCAACCUCGAGACGUCGAUGGAAACCAUCUGGCUAGAGUCCGGAAGAGGAGAGUGGAAUUCCUGGUGUAGCGGUGAAGUGCGCAGAUAUCAGGAAGAACACCCGUGGCGAAGGCGGCUCUCUGGUACGUGACUGACGCUGAGACGCGAAAGCGUGGGGAGCAAACAGG
rnacentral:rRNA from 1 species